GAUGAAGAACGCAGCGAAAUGCGAUACGUAGUGUGAAUUGCAGAAUUUAGUGAAUCAUCGAAUCUUUGAACGCACAUUGCGCCCGCUGGCACUCCGGCGGGCACGCCCGUCCGAGCGUCGCUUUCACCACACUCGGCCAGGGGCGCCCCCUACCCCUAGGGGUUAGGGGGGGCCCUGGGCCGGCAUUGGGUUACCCGUGGCUCGCGCCGCGGGUCCCCGAAACACAGCGGCGGCAGCGCCCGUAGCGUCCCCUGCGUAGUGACACUUACCUCGCAUUGGGAACGCGCGCGCGGCCCGCCAGCGACGUCGUCCCAAGGCUCUAACGCCGCCGACGACGACCCCACCACAAGGUUGACCUCGGAUCGGGCGGGGCUACCCGCUGAACUUAAGCAUAUCAAUAAGCGGAGGA
rnacentral:misc_RNA from 1 species